GCAAAGACUAUGAUGGAGAAAAGUAGAUUACAUGUUAAUUUUCAGGGAGGAAGGGUCGCUGACUGAAAGCUCUUCUAAAGAUGACAGUAAUUGAAGUUCGCUCCGGAGUUGCCAGCUGAACGGUUCGCCAAGUAGGAUUGGACGGUUCUUCCCCGUUAGGCGAAGGAGGUAUCGGAAUUUGUUUCGGCACCUUUGAGAGAGGACUUCUUUGAAGUCAAGUUGGGUGGUAACGCGAGAAAUACUUCUCGUCCCUAUG
rnacentral:ncRNA from 1 species